rnacentral:rRNA from 1 species
AGAGUUUGAUCAUGGCUCAGGACGAACGCUGGCGGCGUGCCUAAUACAUGCAAGUCGAGCGCAGGAAGCUCACGGAACUCUUCGGAGGGAAGUGAAGGGAAUGAGCGGCAGACGGGUGAGUAACACGUAAGGAACCUGCCCCAAGGAUUGGGAUAACUCCGAGAAAUCGGAGCUAAUACCGAACAGUUCUUCAGACCGCAUGGUCUGAUGAUGAAAGGCGCUCCGGCGUCACCUUGGGAUGGCCUUGCGGUGCAUUAGCUAGUUGGUGGGGUAAUGGCCCACCAAGGCGACGAUGCAUAGCCGACCUGAGAGGGUGAUCGGCCACACUGGGACUGAGACACGGCCCAGACUCCUACGGGAGGCAGCAGUAGGGAAUCUUCCACAAUGGACGAAAGUCUGAUGGAGCAACGCCGCGUGAGUGAUGAAGGUUUUCGGAUCGUAAAACUCUGUUGUAAGGGAAGAACAAGUACGAGAGGUAAUGCUCGUACCUUGACGGUACCUUGCGAGAAAGCCACGGCUAACUACGUGCCAGCAGCCGCGGUAAUACGUAGGUGGCAAGCGUUGUCCGGAAUUAUUGGGCGUAAAGCGCGCGCAGGCGGGCCUUUUAAGUCUGAUGUGAAAGCCCCCGGCUCAACCGGGGAGGGUCAUUGGAAACUGGAAGGCUUGAGUACAGAAGAGAAGAGUGGAAUUCCAUGUGUAGCGGUGAAAUGCGUAGAGAUGUGGAGGAACACCAGUGGCGAAGGCGACUCUUUGGUCUGUAACUGACGCUGAGGCGCGAAAGCUGGGGAGCAAACAGGAUUAGAUACCCUGGUAGUCCACGCCGUAAACGAUGAGUGCUA